AAGUGUCUAGCUCAAUUGGCAGAGCGUCUCGUUUACACCGAGAAGGUAAUUGGUUCAAAUCCAAUGAUACUUA
rnacentral:tRNA from 1 species